UUAAUAUUCCUGUACUUGGUGUUACUGCGAAGGGGGGUCGGUGAAGGCUAUGUUAGCCGGGAGACGGUUGUGCCGGUUUAAGCAUGGAGGGGGAGUAUCCAGGUAAAUCCGGAACCUUUUAACGCGGAGGUGUGAUGACGAGGCACGACGGUGCUGAUGUAACAAAUGCCAUGCUUCCUGGAAAAGCCUAUAAGCAUCAGGUAACACGAAUUGGUACCACUAACCG
rnacentral:rRNA from 1 species